CGCGUGUUGUUUUUAAACCCCUUGGACCGGACUGGAUCGGUACUCAAACAUCAUAGCGAGCGCAAUGCACCUUAUCGGAGACAAAGGAAAAAGCCUCUCCAGAAGCUUUUCCGGCCCCGGCUGCGGAUGGAACGUUGACGAGAGACAAAGCCUCCCUUGGCUGCCGAUCCAUUGAUUUGUAACGUUCUAGAACGCGCUGGAAGUUCUGCGCUCUGAAGGAGUAACCAGGCAUUCUACCGGAUCUGCGAUGGCAAAAGAAUUCGAGACAUGGAAAGAAGGGUGGGCGAGGGAGACAAAGCAUGCCUCCAGUGUUUAAAACGGCCUCCCCUUCUUGAACUUUAAAUCUCAACCGCACCCAGUAUUUUGUCCACACACGCUACAGGGACGUUUAUUCUGGUUCCGUUCUCUUUCAUGCAGCAAUUGGGACUGACUGAACUGC